rnacentral:rRNA from 1 species
ACGGCUCAGUAACACGUGGCUAACCUGCCCUUGGGACGGGAACACCCCCGGGAAACUGGGGCUAAUCCCCGAUAGGUGAAGAACUCCGGAAUGAGUCUUCGCCCAAAAGGCGUCGGAUCAUGCUUUCGGCGUCGCCCAAGGAUGGGGCCGCGACCGAUCAGGUUGUUGGUGAGGUAACGGCCCACCAAGCCUAUAACCGGUGCGGGCCGUGAGAGCGGGAGCCCGGAGAUGGGCACUGAGACAAGGGCCCAGGUCCUACGGGGCGCAGCAGUCGCGAAACCUUUGCAAUACACGAAAGUGUGACAGGGUCAUCCCGAGUGCCGACCGCUGAGGUUGGCUUUUACCCAGUCUAGAAAGCUGGGGGAAUAAGGAGAGGGCAAGUCUGGUGUCAGCCGCCGCGGUAAUACCAGCUCUCCGAGUGGUGUGGAUGUUUAUUGGGCCUAAAGCAUCCGUAGCUGGCUAGGUAAGUCCCUUGUUAAAUCCACCGAAUUAAUCGUUGGAUCGCGGGGGAUACUGCUUGGCUAGGGGACGAGAGAGGCAGACGGUAUUUUCGGGGUAGGGGUGAAAUCCUAUAAUCCCGGGAAGACCACCAGUGGCGAAGGCUGUCUGCUAGAACGCGCCCGACGGUGAGGGAUGAAAGCUGGGGGAGCGAACCGGAUUAGAUACCCGGGUAGUCCCAGCUGUAAACGAUGCAGACUAGGUGUUUGGACGGCCACGUGCCGUUCUAGUGCCGCAGGGAAGCUGUUAAGUCUGCCGCCUGGGGAGUACGAUCGCAAGAUUGAAACUUAAAGGAAUUGGCGGGGGAGCAC